UGGGGAAUAUUGGGCAAUGGGCGAAAGCCUUACCCAGCAACGCCGCGUGAGGGAAGAAGGUUUUCGGAUUAUAAACCUCUGUCCUGGGGGACGAAGGAAGUGACGGUACCCCGGGAGGAAGCCCCGGCUAACUACGUGCCAGCAGCCGCGGUAAUACGUAGGGGGCGAGCGUUGUCCGGAAUUAUUGGGCGUAAAGGGCGCGUAGACGGCCGAGUAAGUUAUAGGUGAAAGCCCAUCUUUCAAGGAUGGAAUUGCCUGUAAUACUGCCUGGCUUGAGUGCAGGAGAGGGAAGCGGAAUUCCUAGUGUAGCGGUGAAAUGCGUAGAUAUUAGGAGGAACACCAGUGGCGAAGGCGGCUUGCUGGACCGAAACUGACGCUGAGGCUCGAAAGCGUGGGGAGCAAACAGGAUUAGAUACC
rnacentral:rRNA from 1 species